UACGGAGGAUGCAAGCGUUAUCCGGAUUUACUUUGUGUAAAGGGAGCGCAGACGGUUGUGCAAGUCUGAAGUGAAACCCCACCGCUCAACGGUGGGCUUGCUUUGGAAACUGUAUAACUAGAGUACUGGAGAGGUAAGCGGAAUUCCUAGUGUAGCGGUGAAAUGCGUAGAUAUUAGGAGGAACAUCGGUGGCGAAGGCGGCUUACUGGACAGCAACUGACGUUGAGGCUCGAAGGCGUGGGGAGCAAAC
rnacentral:rRNA from 1 species